rnacentral:rRNA from 1 species
UAGAAGCUUGCUUCUAUGACGUUAGCGGCGGACGGGUGAGUAACGCGUGGGCAACCUGCCUGUAAGACUGGGAUAACUUCGGGAAACCGAAGCUAAUACCGGAUAGGAUCUUCUCCUUCAUGGGAGAUGAUUGAAAGAUGGUUUCGGCUAUCACUUACAGAUGGGCCCGCGGUGCAUUAGCUAGUUGGUGAGGUAACGGCUCACCAAGGCAACGAUGCAUAGCCGACCUGAGAGGGUGAUCGGCCACACUGGGACUGAGACACGGCCCAGACUCCUACGGGAGGCAGCAGUAGGGAAUCUUCCGCAAUGGACGAAAGUCUGACGGAGCAACGCCGCGUGAGUGAUGAAGGCUUUCGGGUCGUAAAACUGUGUUGUUAGGGAAGAACGAGAACAAGAGUAACUGCUUGUGCCUUGACGGUACCUAACCAGAAAGCCACGGCUAACUACGUGCCAGCAGCCGCGGUAAUACAUAGGUCGCAAGCGUUAUCCGGAAUUAUUGGGGCGUAAAGCGCGCGCGGCGGUUUCUUAAGUCUGAUGUAAAAGCCCACGGCUCAACCGUGGAGGGUCAUUGGAAACUGGGGGAACUUGAGUGCAGAGAAGAAAAGCGGAAUUCCACGUGUAGCGGUGAAAUGCGUAGU